UGAAUUUCUAACACUAGGCAAUCGUCAGGGCGAGUCUCGCGACGCGCCGUUUAACAACAUAACGAGGGCGACCACCGGCAGUGUCCUUUCAAGAAGAACCGACCCGACCUUUGCCGGAGAAACUAGAGGUAAUACAGUUGGACCCAGAUCAGCCUGACUUCACGAUCAGACAACGGACUGGCGUGAAAGCAGGUGGUUGAAGCUCGGAGAGCUAGGUUACUCCAUUCCAUCACUAUGAGGGACAGAAGAGGAGCACUUCAAUACACCAGGCGCCAAGAGAGCUCAUGACAAUAAAUUCCGCUGACAUCCGAAGCCUCGCUGUAGUCCAUAUGGCCAUCCCACAGAAAGUGACACACCAUAUGAUGUUGUCGACCUAAGAAUUUUGAGACUGGGGCACCUCAGGUUUUCUGUAGGAGGCGCAAAGUCUGUCUUAGCAGGCCAGACGAGUCGUGGGGACUUACUGGUUGAAGAGGAAGAAUCAGACUUUUGGGAACUGAGCCUUAAAGUCAAGCAACUUUCCAAAUUACAAAGUAUGUGCAGAUAGUGCCGUUUACCUCAAAACAUGAUGGAAUGGUAGUUCUGCAAUUUGAAUAUGAUAAUGAAAUAUGUAUGAGUAGCAAUGUCGAAAGUUGAAAGAGUGUGGUGGAAAACAAUAAAAGUUCUAUGUUUGCCAACAUUUCAAACUGUGAGAAUAAAAAAUCACGUCGGAGAGGAAAACCAACAGAGAACAAAUUAUGAGCCUUCGAAAAACUAUGUUUGCAUGAAAUCAAGAGAGGACCUGGAAGAUGAGAAGGAUGGUUUCCAAUAAGGCUGCAGAGGGAAUGGCCAUGACCUCCACCUACAAGUGCAAAAGUCUGUAUGUUUUUAAAACCAUUGGAUUGGUCACCUUCUUACGCAUUUUCUCCAUCUACUGUAGCUGCUGACUGAUGCCUUCUCUUCUCAUUUCCUCCUCACCAUCCAAUCCAUCAUACAUCCAUUUGCUGUUUCUUGCUGAAUCAUGUCCAUAUAAUUUGUCUCUCUUUUUGGCCCAAGGUCCCUCAUGCAGAACUGCUGACACACCUCCAGGCUCCUUUUCCUCCCGUUCUCCUUCACUUAUCUCGCCCCGCAGAUCCACACGUUUGGAUCUGGAUUUGCCUCCAGAGCGUCUGAAAUCUGAGCAUUCGGUGGAGGAGCAAAACGCAUCAAGGCAGAAUCUCCUCCCAGAGCUCAACCCAUAACCGCGACCCCAGACCGAGACCAACAAUUUAAUCCAGCACGAGGUCCUGUGAAUUUAAGACCAUGAGCCACCCCAAAUGCCAUGAAACCAGAGCCUAGACACCUGCUUUGGCACCAGAAUUUCAUUGUCAUUGUGCCAUUCCGUGGGUUUGCUGAACACUCCAGACAACGACCCGCAAACCAGAGCUCUUAUUCUGCAGAACCAAAGAAAAAAAAAAAUCCUUGGACUGGAAGUCAUUUUAAUUUUCUCUGCCAUCACCUGUUAUUUUUCACAUUCUUUUUUUCUUAAAGCCACAAAAAUGAUAAACUAAAAAAGAAUCCAGACAUCUGGUACCAUAACCAAGCCGGUUUGGUUCUUUAUUUCCCUUUUUUAUUUUUGGGACUAAACAGAACCACACAAAUGGGCCAGGGGGAGCUACUCCAUAACAUGUGUGCCUCGCCGCAGGAGAGGAAAAAUAAACGCACGCCAAACCAUAAAAAACCUAAACUAAUGCAAAGGCACUCUGAAUACGAAACUGC
ensembl:lncRNA